AGACGACUGCCUUGUUCAUCUUUACUUGCCUCCGCCACUUUCUUGCUCAUGUGUCCUGCACAACAGGACGGAGACCGAAUCGCAGGCGGAGCUUUCCCGUCCUCGCUGCACCUUGCCGGCCGUGCUCUGCCCUGCUCUCUGACAUCCCCGACGUCUUUGGGCCUUGACGAUUGACACCGGCAUCUUUCUUCAUCGCAGCUUAUCUUGCUGGUGCUGGUGGUGCUGGUGCGGCUUGGGUCCUCUUACCUGCGCCUUGUCCAUUGACACCGGCAUCUUUCUCAUCGCAGCUUCUCUCGGUUUUGGUCCGCCUGGCCUCCAGGCGAGUUGUGGCUACUUUAUCGCAGUACGUCGGCUCGUGGUCCUUGGGUCGAGUCGGUAUCGCCGUGCGGUUGAGGUGAGAAGGUCUGAUGCUGAUUUCCAGCAUGUGGUGAUGAUGGUGACCUCCGCAUGGUCCUUGGGCACCCGAGUCCCGGGCUGAUGCCGGUUGUCAGGAAGGCGAGCUUCCGCAGCACAUGCACCAGGUGCUGGCUGACAGGCAGCUAGCCUGGGGCGUGUUUUAUACUUUCUUAGGCGUUAUCAUGCGCGAAGAAGGUGGGGGAAAGAACCUUCGGCUGGAACCGAGGAUGAUUUCUGACAUUUUUUGGAAAUAUUUAUGACUGUUUCAGUGGCUGCGACCCUCGGACAAUCCGUCUGAAGAGUUCCUUUCUGGGUGUGGAUUUUUCUGAAGCCGUUGUUUCUUUGAAGGGGAAUUCUAUACACUGCAAUUUUAAGCCUCAUGAGUUGCAAUUUGGUUUUUGAAGGUAAGUAUGCAUUUUCAGAGUUAGUCAAGGUAAUUCUUUACCUGCAAGAUGAACACAUGAAUUCAGAGGUUGUUUGGUUUCCUUGUAACUUUAACCCGACACGUUCCCUUCAGAUUUUGUGCUGUUUGUGUCCUAAUUCGAGAAAGGAGGAUCGCGAGUUGAAAAUACGUUGAUUCGACACAUGUUUCAACUGCCAUCUCCGCAGGCGUGGUGCAACGAUCCGAUUCCUUACGGAACUCUUGUUCAAUACUUUCUGAUCCAGACAGUCUAAACAACAAUAGUAACAAAAAGAGUCGAGCUAGCUUUGCUGUCUUGCCCAUAUAUCUGAGCAUCGAAGACAUUUUUGCUUUCAUCUUUUCUUAAAUCUCUUACUUUGACUAUUCCUACACCCCUAAACGCAUGCACUGUUGAAGCAGCCUAAUCAUCGUGCAUGCAUGGUGUUGCAGGUAUUUCGUGUUAAAUCAGAGCGUUAUCAGUGUUUUCAAGUUACUCCAUCCUUUUUAAAUGAUCAGCUCAUGGUGUAUGGCUGGUUUUGCACAAUUUUCUCACUCAUGCUGGGAUCAGAAGAGAGAGAGUACAGCCCAACGGCCGAUGUUCAGUUGGAACGGGCUGUGCUCUCUCUCUUCUUGUUCCAACCUGGGUGCAUUUCCGUUCUAGACCAGAGAAGACCACAGCAACACAAUAACUGACCAACGUGGCAAGGAAGCUCGGCACCGCACACCGGCAUUUUGGCUCACGACACCAACUCACCUUUUUCUACAUUCAAGCUGGGGUUCGAAGAGAGAGAGCACAGUCCCAGACUUUUCACUCACGACCACUUUGAGUGUCUUAUGGUGAACAGUAGUCGGGCUGUACUCUCUCUUUUCCAGUCCCUACUCGAAUGUGUUUCUAUCGCUGACGACGAGAAUAUGCGUAACGCGGCAUGCGCUUUUAGAAUCUACAGCUUGUUAACCAAACAACGAAACAUCUCUCAAAUGUACGGAAAACCUCAUGGAGACUGCUUAUGCCUCACUGAUGGAGCAGCAUUUUGUAUGCUAGAUUUUUUUACUGUUUCUGCUUCGUCGAGAGACCGUAUCCUCUGGUAUCAGAUGGCGAAGGAUGAUCAGCUAGAAAUUCCACAGUGUGCGGUCUGCGUCCAGCACUUAGCUACGACCAUAACGAUCGUCAACUAGUCUCGACCUUGUUGCCAUUUCAGUUAGAUAGUGGUGAUCUGAGAAAAUUUUCAUGCAUCAUACUCUUAAGCAUUUGGAUUCUUUUAAAUUUUGCUUCGGUAGUCAUAUUCUAAUUUAAAUGUUCUUUGAGAAUGUAGUUACCAUGUGUCAUGCUGUUCUGAGGGCUUUGUUACUGAAUGUAGAGGUUUGUGAAAUCACAGGAUUAGUAACAAUUGAUUAAGUUCGGUGCCAGGAUCAGGAUUCUUCUCCUUUUAGUAGAGCUGGUCUCUAGCUAGAUUCUUCGAUAGUUCAACAAGAAUUUCUUAGACGGCGACUGAAGAGCAAUCUUCGUGUAGAGGCAACUGCUUUGUUGAACAUGGAACCAGUUCUGAGCAUUCGCAUGUAGUUCGUCCAGAUUAGUGAUCCAAGUUGAAGUCAGUAUCCAUUUAGAAGCGCCGUUCUGAUUUCGGAGGAGUCGGACUUAUGCAACUACUCUACUUUCUUGCUUUUUUCUUUUCUUCUUUGUUGUUUUUUCGAGAGCAGUAUUCAUACACAUCAGAAUGCACGAGUGAAGCGAAUCAUAAUGUUACGUCUGCAUCAUUGAUGCUUUAAACUCAAGGACAGCCAGUUGCUUGGCUACUGUAAGUAUCAACCUUGAUUGGUGUGCUGUGUGCAUGUUAUUUGAUUGUAUAUAAUUCCUGGAUGGACAACAGUCACUUCAUAACACUCUAUCGCGUGGUAGUAUGGCGGAAGUAUAUCCGCAUCUGUUAGUGGUCGUACUCCCAAUCAUCAGUCAACGUGCAUUAUUAUUAGAUGCGUUGAAGGUCAGCAAGGUAUUUGUGAUCUGAAAAGAGUACAACUUGCAAUUAGUAGGCAUUUGUAGUCGUUCUUGAGAUAUUCCUUAGCUUUUUAUCAGUAGCUGCGGAAAGAAUAAACUCCAUCUGCCGUGGUUUUAGUGCGAAAAAUCACUUCGCUCGAUAUCAAAGAUCUCAUCAUCUGUACUGCAUGCAUCAGCUUGGCGGUGGAAAAGAGCACUGGUGAAAGUUACGCAGGUGAAUCCAAACUGGCAGCGUCCGCCAACGAUUGUUGGCAAGAAGGUGUUGCCGGAAGUACCUCCUGUGAGCAGAUUGCGUUUGAACAACAUCGACUUAGCGACGAGGUUGACCUCUGAAUGUUAGUCUUAAAAGUGCAGAUAAUUGUGUCUACGUUACAUUUGUGUGCACCGCCUAUGUAUAUUUUCUUGUGGUUAAUGCAUUCGUCAACAUGAAGUAUCAAGCAUUGCACUGUAAGAGCUCUUUACAGUAGUGAAAGGGAGCGAUUCAGAGUAAAAGAACUUAUCAACUAUAUCAAGCUUAGAGACUCCCGUAGUCACUGUCACCUAAGUUGCAAUCUAGGCAUCAUCAGCAAGAGGAGUUUGGAAGGGACAUCAUAUCAAUUUGAUUGUCAUUCAUGAAUUUCUGUACGUUUCUCUUAGUGUAACUACAUAAAUACAAUGCAUGAUUACACCUUUAGAAAUGCAUUUAAGGGCUUCUGUCGCCAAGGAUAGCUGUGUAAGAAGUAUCUAUGUCGUGUCAUCAACAUUAGACGUUGAAACAACCCCUUCUGAAAAAUUCACCGGAUACUACAACCAGAAACUAGGUUAACUAGUAGGUGCAUGUUACUCUUGCUUGAUACCUUCAUGGAGAAUGCUGAACAUUAAUACCUUGUACAAUUUUUCGUGUAAUUACGAGGGAUACAGGAUUAGAGAGAAACAGGGCUUUAAAGGCUGACAGUCUUGCUCAUGUCAACACCUGGUUACGUACCUCACGUCUGGUGGAAGACUACGUAAUUUGAUGCGAGACUUACAUUACGAACUUGGACGUUUCAUAUCGCGAGAUGCUGGUAUUUCUUUUUGCAAGAUUUUAAAACUCACGGGAUAUUCAAUUUGCGCCAUGUAGUCUAAUUAUCGCCGUCACAACAUGUGCAGGAACACAACUGCGAAGAUGAUUGUGGUGUUAGAGCAAUUCAUAACGUAUGCUUCUCGAAGAGGUCAUGACGAAACCCGUGGUUGGAAUUUUAAUGGAGAUUUCCAGAUUCCUUCAAAACAUGGUUAAUGCAUUCCUAGUUCAAAAUUCCUUUCGUGCAUUGUCUGCCUAAUCUUGUCUACUUGAGGAGUCACGUUGAAUGCACAUGGAGACGCUUUCAGACUUUACAGACCCUGAAAAGGCGAUUGCGUCACUGCAGUCUGUACAUUCCCUUGCGUAUUAACAUGUUUAGUUAUAUAAUAAUAAUAAUAAUAAUAAUAAUAAUUUUUCUCAAUAGCGAAGUAUUUCGCUAGAUUACAACUUCUCUGGAAUGAUCCUCUCAUGUUACUGACACGUAACGUAAGUUUCCUAAAAUCAAAUGCUCUAGUCACCGAACUCCAACCGUUGUCAUUAUGAUAGCACUGCACUCUGCUUCACAUUAGAUAAUAUGAUUUUUUUUCUUUUUUCGUCACAGUAACAGUUUUAUUGAUAUUGUUCGCUGAUCAACUCAAUUAUCUCAAAUAACAUUCUCGCAAACUGCAGCUAUAAAAUCUGUCUUCUCUUUUACUGAACCCCUAUGAAGAAGUCUUUCGUUACAAAGGUCGUUCUUAUAGUUUUGACUUUGUGUCCAGACAGUGAUGGCUUACUUUAACAGUACUUUGUCGAUAAUUCAGACUAUUCUUUUAUGUCUUCUCAUACUGUUCUUUGGUUAGAUUUGUUUUCUUCACAAGGUUUAUCUGUUAUUCACCAUUAUGCAAUAUUUUUCUUUCUGGACGAACCUCACAGAGCAGUAUAAUUAACUGACUCCAACAGAUUAUUUGGCAACUUACAGGUGAAAGAGCUUCUCCUGCGCUUCCUUUUCUGCAACUUAUAUGCACAACUUCAAUGGUGGAGAUGCUGUUUCGAAAUGCAGAGGAGCUUCUCCACUAUUGAACCCGUACACAGGGGAUCACAGGAGAUGCUGUAACACCUGCAUGUUGCCAAAAACUUGUAACAGAUACUUCAAUGUACCGCCUUGUUCAGAGAUCGUAUUAGUACCUGCCAGUACUUUAAACCAACUGCAACAGUGGUUAGAAACGUGUACACAUGCGUCGUUAGGAAUUCUGCAAACAUUCUUCAGAAACUCUGAGGUCCUUACCUUAUUUUCUUUGGUCGACUGGAGAGCCGUUUCAGAUGCUGUCGCAUUUGAAAGGUGUUCAUCUCCAUUGUAUGGCAUUGGAUCGAAUCAAGUUGCGAGUGAUAAACAGGCUAUUAAGAUGAUCACCUCGUAUCCAUGGCACUGGGCCGAAUCAAGUUGCGAGUGAUGAACAGCGAGUACAUUCCAGCAUUAUGGUGACCUUAGGACUUUGCAAGUAAGGACUCCUCAGGCAUGAGGACAGUGUGAGGAUCUGAGAAUCUGUAACGAUGUGCUGCUCAACUAGUUUAUCGGCAGGGGAUCAGUCCUCUCGCUUGAAAAGUUCUGCAAGGGGCAAGAAGCAUUUAGUUGGACAAGCGAAAACUUUUCAAAGAGCUUUAAGUGGUGGUUUAUCGGCUCCUCACCAUGGAAUCAGGGAUCUGUCCCCCCCUCCCCCCCGUACGAGGGGCUGCGGCGAUCAUCUUCUAGGUGACAGUACGAACAUCUGUUUUCAGCUGCACGGCAUGCCAGGGAUUCUGCACUAGUACCACUCAAUGAAUCAACAAAAGAACAGUCCUAACAGCAGUUCUUCAAGACAGACGACGCGAAUCAUUUGGUUGCCGUCCACGAAUGGUGUAUGCUGUUAUGUCUGGAACUCCAGUCGAAUGAGUGGAUUGGACGUGUAUGCUCUCUCUAUGGUACGUGUUCACAAUCAGGGAUCUACUCAAAGCUUAAGGUGUUUUUCCUGUCAUUCAAAGUUAAUUUUUAAUGCCAUGACGCGGUUACAAACCGACAGAGCCCCUGUUCUCCAUGUCAUGGUGGUAGCUCCUUCACACUACCUGGCUGAGCAAGUUUCAGGUGUAGCCACUUGGUAACCGUCUCCUCAGCAUGUACGUGGCAUGGAAAUUCAAUCCCUGACUGAUACUAAGGUCAGCAGGUUUGAAGUGCGACGUUUGAAGCCUUUAGCCGUUACUGGCUUCUUUCAUACAUACCAGUACCGUAUUGGACUUUGUAUAUACUAUGUACACUCAAUUGGCGGUGGUGGGGUAUAUUUAGGUACUCGUACCGCCACAUCGUUGCCAGUAACGGCCAAGCACUUUGGGCCCCAGCAUUCAGGCUAUCGUCGGCGGAGAGUGUGAUGGACUGUGUUGACUAUUCCACCUUCCUAACAUAUUCUCUAAAGUAAUAUUUCAUGUCGUGUUAUAAAGCUUCACUGCCGACCUCUUGCGAGGUAAAUGGAUCAAAUGACUAAUGUGUUGUAGUACAAAUGUUUGAUAUUACAAGGGAGUUUUCUGAGUUCGUUUAACUGCCCAAUUCCUGUGCAAAGGCAUGCUUCUACAGUUGUAAUGCAGUUGCGCAGGUUUUCUUUUCGAGAGUGAGAUUUUGUAACUCUGGAUUUAUUUACAGUAGUGUGACCAGUGUUCACAAGGUUGUGGCGAUUCUACUACGACGGACUCGUCAACCUCCUGAGAAGCGGUGGCACACUCCACCGCUUGUGUUUGGAUGAAAGUAGCCCACAGAUAUUCUAAGUGAAUAGAGCUUCAGAUCUUUGGGAGAACCUAACCCGUAACUUGAUUUCCGAGACUCCAAAAUCAGAUAGAAGGAUUCUCUAUAUGCACAAAAUAGGAGGAAGAUUUUUGUCUCUUUCACUCCAUGGGAAUGGGUGUGGGUUUGUCAGAUCAAAAGUAUACGAACCUUUUUUGACUAGUGCAAGAGUGACGAGUGCAAUGGAAUAUUUGGUCCCAACAGACAACAUGGAUGCCGAUAUGCUAUCACAAUGAAGAGUGAUGAGGUAAGUGCUAAACUAGUAAGUCUCACUGUGGGGGCCAACAGCUCAAGGAAAAAGGUUGAAAACAGAGACUAAGUACUAACAAAGAGAUUCAAAGAAGAAGGGAUGAUAACCUAACUAACAGAGAAGAAAGAAUAGUAAAGAGGGCAAGAUCAGAGAGUCUCCCCCAUGAUUGAAGCAGCCUCCCUUUCAUUGUUGGUAUAGAGAAUGGUGAGGGGUCAAUUUGCAUUGUGGUUGUCCUUGUGGGCAUUGUUGGAGAUGCUUUAGUGUGGAAUUGCUUAGAUGGCAAGAUAUUUGGAAGUUUGUUUGUUUGCAUUGGUGUAGGAGGUUGUAGACCAUGUCAUGCAAAAAGGUGAAUCAAGUAGUUUUGCGAGAGAGCAAUUUGGUAGAAGUGCCAAGUUGUCUUGGGAGGAUUUUGGAGGUUUGAGGUAGAAGUUGAAGAGAAUUUUUAGAAUAGAGGAGUCAUUAGAGGGUUGGUAUUACGCAAUAUGAGUUGAAAUUUGUCUUGGAGUGUAUACUAGUUAGAAAGGUUGUUUAUAAAUGGUCAAUGGCUACAAGUGUGCAGUUUAUAAGAGUUUAUAAAGCUUACAAGAGGCA